rnacentral:rRNA from 1 species
GCACCACAAGAACGCGUGGAGCAUGUGGCUUAAUUUGACUCAACGCGGGAAAUCUUACCGGGUCCGGACACACUGAGGAUUGACAGGCAAUAUCUCGACUGUUUAAUAAUAAUAACCGUUUAUUAAUAAACGGUUUAUUAAACAGAUCGAGUGUUAAAUAUGCUAGUCCUUUCAUGAUUAUGUGAUAGGUGGUGCAUGGCCGUUCUUAGUUCGUGGAGUGAUCUGUCUGCUUAAUUGCGUUUCACUAAGGGCCCAUAAAUUCAAGGUAUGUUAGCAAUCGUCGCUCUAUGGACCCCUUAUUUCAGUUUAUUAAUAAACUGUUAUAAGCGCGCGUCUUGUUUAAAGAGUUUAAGACACUGCGCAUGCUGUUGGGCUCUGAAAGCAACGAACGUGACCGCAACGUCUUGUUGCCUUAAUCAAGUCGGCUGUUUAAUCUGUUUAAUUAAACAGACAGCAGUCAUUAUAUGGCUUAUCCGAGGCUAUUUAAAACUAGACGAACCGCUGUUUCUUUUCUUAAACCAGAGGAAGGUUGCGGCAAUAACAGGUCUGUGAUG